rnacentral:rRNA from 1 species
UACGAAGGGGGCUAGCGUUGUUCGGAAUUACUGGGCGUAAAGCGUGCGCAGGCGGCUUCUCAAGUCAGGGGUGAAAGCCCAGAGCUUAACUCUGGAAUUGCCUUUGAGACUGAGAGGCUUGAGGACGGGAGAGGUGAGUGGAAUUCCCAGUGUAGAGGUGAAAUUCGUAGAUAUUGGGAAGAACACCGGUGGCGAAGGCGGCUCACUGGCCCGUACCUGACGCUGAUGCACGACAGCGUGGGGAUCAAACAGG